UUGUUGCGCAAGGAUCAGUGGCGUGUUAAGCAGUCCAAAUGUGCUUUCGGUCAACAGCAGAUCGCUUACUUGGGCCAUGUUAUCAGUGCAGAUGGAGUUUCCACAGAUCCUAGUAAAAUUGACACAAUCCGACGCUGGCCAACUCCUCUAAAUGUGAAAGAGGUACGCAGUUUUCUGGGGCUGGUAGGUUAUUAUCGCAAAUUUGUCAAACAUUUUGGAAUCAUCGCUCGACCACUAUUUAAUUUGCUAAAGAAAAGCCAUCCAUUUUUGUGGACUGAUGAAACACAGAAGGCGUUCGAGUUGCUCAAGCAGGGUUUAAUGUCAGCACCAGUACUCCAGCUCCCAAAUUUCUCCAAAACCUUUGUGAUCGAUACCGAUGCUUAUGAUUAUGGAGUGGGAGCCGUACUUCAGCAAGGUGGUCACCCAAUAGCCUAUAUGAGCAAGCCGUUAGCACCAAAGCACCGUGGACUAUCCAUGUAUGAAAAAAAGUGCCUUGCCAUCCUCAUGGCCGUGGAACAGUGGCGGCCUUAUCUACACACAGGUGAAUUCAUCAUCAGGACGAAUCAACGCAGCUUGGUUCACUUGGAUGAUCAGCGUCUAUCCACAGUUUGGCAACAAAAAGCUUUUACGAAGCUUCUCGGCCUUCGUUACAAAAUCUGUUACAGACAGGGGGCCACUAAUAGCGCAGCAGAUGCUCUGUCUCGAUGCUCUCACCCCACUGAACAACUAACAGCCAUAUUGAUCUGUCAGCCAACUUGGAUUGAGGACAUUCGUGCAAGCUACGACAGCAACAAGCAAGUUCAGAAGAUACGCCAGCAGCUGAGCAGCAGACCUGAUCCCAAGGGUCGUUUUACCUGGUCA
rnacentral:rRNA from 1 species